AGCCCAGAGGAUGGAACUACAGGCUGGGGGCGGAGCUUAGGCGCGCAGAAAGAGGAGCGGGCUUGUGGAGCCCCGACGUGGGAAAAAGAAAAGGCAAGCGACAUCACAUGGCACACCAAGUGAGCAUGAAGAGAUGUGGUGUGAAGGAACAGAGCCACCUGCAGUUCAACUGCUUGGAAGUUGGCCAUUUGCUACACAUUCCCUGCGGAGUGCCAAAUCCACGAGCAUUUUGAAGCUACAGCUUGGUGACCCACCAAAGGUACCCAUCUGUGGGUCUCUUCAGCUGCCAGAGCUCAGUGCUGUUUUGUACAGACCUUGCUAUUAAUAACAUCACAGUCUUUGGUUUCAUGGAGGGGCCUCUCUGGGACUUAUCCUGGAGUUAGAGACAUCAGCAAGUUUCCAGAUGUUUCUUGAUUAUUAGAAUACCCUGACAGCUCUUUGGCUCACAAGGAUGUGUUAUGAACAAGUGUCCUUCAGUCCACCAAUCCAGAUGUUCUUUCUCUGCCAUUUGGCAUGGGGUAUACGCAGGAUAUUAAAUGAGAUGUCUAAUAGAGUGUUAAUGGCAUCAGCCACACAGGCUAUGAGAAAUAACCUCCUCAACUUAAAUUAUUUUAUGAUGUCAGAACACAGUCAUGCCAUUUAUGCUUUCUGUAAAAUAUCCUUCAUGUUUUCCAGUUCCCAGCACCACUGACGGCGUAUCUGUGGGCUCAUAGCAAUAUUGUUGCUGAUGAUAAAAACUCAGAGAAAAGCAUACACAUGUAUCCCAGGAUGGCCUCAAACUUACAGUGCAGCUGAGGAUGAUCUUGAACUCUGUGAUCUCCCUGUCCCUACCUCCCCAGUGGUAGAAUUAUAAGAACAUACAACCCUGCCUGGUUUAUGUAUGCUGAGGAUCAAACACAGGGCUUUAUGCAUGCUAGUCAAGCAUGCUACCACUGAGCUCUAUCUCCAGCCCUUAGCUGAACAUUUUCAAGAGUAUUCUCUAAAACUUGUUUACUGGGGUGGGGGUGGACUGAAGAGAGUUGGCUCAGCAGUUAAGAUCACUUGUGGCUCUUGCAACAGGACACAGGUUUGGUUCCCAGAACCUGGGGACCAGAUGGCUGUUACCCAUGAUUCCAGUUCCGAGGGAUCCAACACCAUCUUCUGACUUCCGAAGGUAGUCAUCACACAUGUGGUACACGUACAUAUAUGCAGCCAAAACACUUACACACAGAAAAGAAAACAGACCUAGAGAUUUUUGUAAUUGUUUGAGAGGCUUUACCUGUAUAUAAAUCGAAAAGUAUUGCUUUGUUUUGUUUGUGUUUCUAUUUUUCCCAUGCUUAUUGAGUAUUUGCAUAUUACUUGUGAACUGUGUAUUUUUGUUCAUUUUCUUGGGGAGAGGAGGUUCUUAGCAUUUCAUUGAUUUAUAUGGACUCUAUCCUCACUAACUGACAAUAGAUAUUUUUCCACCACAAUUGCUAUAAAUUUUGAUAUUGUUUGCUCUUUAGUGCUUGUCUUUUGAUAUACAUCAAUUUUAAAUGCCUAAAUAGCACCAAAUGUAUCACUCUCUCUUUUUUUUGUAAUUUCUGAUAUAUAUUAGUGCUUUAGAAGCUCUUCUUUAUCUGAGUAUCACGAAAUGUACCUUUCUCUUCUUUAAUUUCCUCAUUAAUUUAGUUUUAAAUUUAGCUCAAAUCUCUCUGCAAUGUAUGCUGUGUUUUGUGUAAACACACAUUUAUACUGAUGUUUUCUUAAUAGCUGACUGGUUUCUAAAUAUUUUAUCAUGAUUAUCCAUCUUGAACUCAGAGGUCCGCCAGCCUCUGCCUCUCGAGUGCUGGGAUUAAAGGCGUACACCACCGCCACCCAGCAUUCAGACCUCUUUUUAUUUGUAGCCUUCCUUUCUUUUUGUGUUAAGUACUUAUAUAUUAGAUGGUCUGUUUAUUGACAUGUAUGUUGCAUUUUUCCAUGUAUUAGACUUAAUUAUUUUAGUUUGUAGUAUUUAUUAAUUACCUGUUGUGCACUGAAAAAACUUCCUUCAAAUAUGUAUAUGUUACCCUUUCAAACUCUUCUUUUUCUUCUUUUUCGAGGUGCUGAGGAUUGAACACAUGGAAAGUGGGUAAGCCUUCCCAUCUACCACUGAGCUUCAGUUUUUCUGCCGUCCCUCCAGCUCAUGGAAUGCUCUUUUGAAAAACAUACACAUUAAGCACUUGAAAACAGACACUGCUGAUACUGGAUGCUACCAAGGUUCAGAGGAUCCUCUAAUGGAUUUCCGUGAUCCUCUGUCCUCAAGGAAUUGAUUAGAGAUAUAUACUUGCAGAAGGAGGUGGGUGGAAGAAAGAGAUAAGAUAAAGUCCACUCUGCCACAAAGGAUGGGGCUCUGACGUCUCAUAACCACCCAUCACGGUUUAUCCGAAGUGAGCCCUUGUGAAGAUCCUCCUCACACUUACAUGGCAAGGGCUUUGCCAACCGAGCCAUUUCCCCAACUCUGGGUGUCUUGUCUGUACAUCAUCAAGCUGCUUGAUGUGUAGAAAAGGAGAGAUGUGUAGAUGUAUAGAUCAAAAGCGAACUGAGAAACUUUCUCUCCCUGAAUCUGGGCAAAAUGAUAAAGACACCAGUGUCAGUCUCUUGGUUUUUGGUAGAGUGGUGAGCGGUGGACCUGAGUUUCCGUUUACAAUAAGGAAGAGCAGCUUCAAUGACAAAUGCCCCUAUGUAUGUUACAUUAAGUUUGCCCAUCGCUUCAACUCUACAGGGCUCAAGCUGAACUCUGCUCAACUAAACUCCACAUAUACCCUCCCUCUACAACCCAAGACAAGGGAGUGGAUCCUUUCUGAAAUAGCCUAACUUCAUUGCAGAGGCCCAGAACAGAGUAACAGUCACUCAUGUGCACAGUGUAUGGAUGGCUUAAGCUAGGAGGUCAUUCCCUGGGCACCUGCUUUCCAGGUUUCAUCACACAGUUAGAUUUCAUUACUACGCCAUAAAAAAAAAAAAAAACAGGGUACAAGAUCUUGCAAAAUAUGUUCUGAACAACUUUAAACUUAAUAAAUAAAAAUUACAUAAACACAACUGUAAGACAAUGAACAGAAAAGUUAAAUACAAUUUAUCACAUGUAAAAUGGAUUAUUGUAUAAUUAGCAAUAUCAACCCUAAAUCCCCACAUCUACAGUGGGAAUGGGAUACAGCAAUAUUAAUCUAAUGAAUUAAGUAAAAAACAUAACUUUAAAUUGAAUAAAACUUUUCAAAUAAUUCAAUAUAGCCCUAGCAAAGCUAAGGUUUGGAUUCAAUGAGACCUGGGAUAAAAAUGGAUAUUUAUCAUUAUAGUUACUUGUAAUCAACUUCCAAAAACUAAGGCAAGUCUCCUUAAUUCUGGGAAAGAAUGUGUCUCUAAAUAACCAUGAUGCUUUUCUCAACAGUUCUGCAUCAUAUGCAAGUCCGGUAGAGUUUGAUGGGUCAGAAAAGCAUCAGUUUGUGCAAUUCAUUGUCCUUUCUUGUACUAUUUUCAAGCUUUAAAAAAUAUAUAUUAAAAAAAACCCUCCAGCUUCAAUUUCACAGAUACAAUUCCAGCACUAGAGAUGCUAGUCAACACUUCCUGCCUCUUCUUGCUGAUGUCCCUCCUGAUCUUCAGCAGGGAAUGACAUUGUGAUGGGCAUUCCUUCCAGGAAUAAACAGUUCACACAAGGAAUAGAGUUGGUAAUUACAAAAUAUUGGAAAAUGACAACUGCCAAGGUUUGCAAAUGAGUGAGUGAAAACAUAAACAGUCAUUGUGGGGGAAGAAGACAAAAAAUAAUUUAUAAACUAAAUCCAACAUUAAAACAAUUCAUAAACUAAAUCCAACAUUGAAACAAUUCAUAAAUUAAAUCCAACAUUGAAACAAUGUAUUUUGAACAUGUGUUCUUGUGUGGCUUGAACAGCAGUUUCUAAGCUUGCAGUAGUUACAUGCAGCCUGUAGAUGGCAUUGGGCAGGACUCCCCAGGUUAGGACUACAUUAAAGAGAGUGGGCUUCCUCCAUGUCAGUUUCAGGGACUUCCUGAGCUCUUUUGAGUUGUUUGUCUUCCCACUUAAGGAGCUUCCCAUCAGGGUGGAAUGUUUCAAUCUUGGAGGACACUGUUGCACAACAGGUCCCAACACACCAAGCAUAAGUAUGCUGCCAUAAGAGAGUAAAUCAAAUCUCAGCUUUGUCAAUGGGAUUUGUUGAGAAAAAGACACAUCAUGACCUUGGGGACCGUCCUGGCAAUAACACAAGCCCUGAACUCGUCCCUAGAAAACAGUAGGAAGAAUUAAGUUGGAGCUGGAGUUACAGAUGUAACUUGCAUUACCAUCCUAAAAAUAUCUUAGACCUUAAAACAUUUUUUAGAUAAACAACUUAAGCUUUUAUGUUUCUCAACCUUAUAAAUUGCAUCUCUUAUGUAAAUUUCUUUUCUGAAUUUGGUAACAAGGAAAACUAUAAAUAUCUAGUCUUCAACCCCAUCAAAGACUGGAGAAGGAAAUAAUAUUACCUGAGUAAACAGGAAGUGCAAAGCAAACAACUUCCAUAGAAAUGGCAGACAGCUGGCUGCCUGGACAGUCACUCAAGGUUCCUCUACAAUGUUGGGACAUUCAUCUUCAGCCUACAGGCUAGACUAUCUGACACACUUUUCUGUGAAGCAGGAAUUUUGAAGGACUAUCCUACCUUAUCUUGGCAAAGUUUAGCCAUCGCUUUCUUUUGUGUCCUUCUUGUCCAGUUUGGACAGCAUACUGUCAGCAGUCAAGGCAAGGGCAGUUUCCAGCCUAAUGGCUAGUUUUGCCACAUUGAAAGCAAACUCCAUAUGGAGGUUCUUUGAUAUCCAUCAUCCUUUCUUGGAGUAAAUUGGUGCUGCCAGGAGCAGACAUGUCUCACUGUCAUGAAAAGCCUUAUGUUAUUAAAACAUCUUAAAUGCCAUAUUCUGUAGAUCUCUGAAGUGUUUGAAGACCACUUAUCUAUCUAAAAUAUAUCUCUGUUUGACUUUGUACCUAACAUGACUACAAGUCUGAUUGUUAUAGAAGACUACUAAACCUGCAUUUCUUAAUUAUCUUAAAUAGUUUUUAAUAAUAGUUUUCAAGGACUAGAAAUUUACAUUACAUUGUUAAAUGAACUGCAUAGGUACAAUACCUUAAACAAAAGUAGAAACAUAUAUACAGUAUAACAAAAAUAACCUUAAAUUUGUAUCAAUAUACAAAAAUCCAUACUAAUGUAAAAUAUUUAAGACUAGUAGUUGCUUUUUUAGUUUAAAAGUAGAUUCAAUAAUCUACCCUUUUAUCCUGUCAUUUCUUUUUUAUUUUAUUUUAUAUCCUGUCAUUUCUAUAUCCCCCUUUUUCUUGUUAGAAUGAAAUCCCUGAAUCUAAUCUCCUUUGCUCAGCUUCUUCACUGACUGUGACCAACAAUAACUUGCAACCAACCCCCCUAAAUGGUAAUAAACAUCCAUAAUCCAUCAAAUGGCCAAAAACCACCCACCCCACCUCUUGGGAAUGUGGGUGUCAUGUAUUCUAGAUUGCUUCCUGUUGUCUGGGGUGAUGGCAUCUUUAGGGGACACUGAGAAAAUUGGGACAAUGGUCAAGUCCUGGGGUAACCAGCCAGCUCCCAAAUAAUGACACGGAGACUUAUUAAUUAUGAAAGCUCAGCCUUAGCUUAAACUUGUCCCACUAGCUCUUAUAACUUAAAUUAACCUGCUUCUAUUAAUCCACAUUUUACCAUGUGGCUUUUUACUUUUUUUCAUUCUGUAUGUCCAACUCCCUCUGUGUCCCAUUGGCAUCUCUCUGGCAUAACUCAAGUGCCUAGAUCCCUCUUCCUCUCUCUCCCCAGAAAUCCUAUCUCUCCUGCCUAGCUAUUGGCUGUUAAACUCUUUAUUAAAUCAAUCACAAUGACACAUCUUUAUACAGUAUAAACAAAUAUUUUGCAAUAGUUAGGCUAGUCUUAAAAAAAAUGCUGAUUGUUGCAAAAUAUUUCAGUGCCUCAGCUAUUUGUAGAUGAAUUUCUAAACAGUCUUAUUAAAUAAGAAACACAGAGCCAAAUAGAGGGAUAAUAGCCGAAGAGAUCAGAGAAAUAACGAAAAGCCACGACUAGCCUUAGCUUACCACCUCACCGCUGCUUCCCCAAAGAGAGCUUCUUCCUGUCUGACCUGCACUUUUAUUGCCUUCCUGUUCUGCCUUCUCAUUGGUUCUAAGCCCAGCCACAUCACUUCCUCGUCACUGCUUGUCUAUACAGACUUCAGGUCUCUAUGGUUGGUACUGGGAUUAAAGGCUCAUCUCACCACGCUUGGCUGUGUCCUUAACCACACAGAGACUCUGCCUGCCAUGUGAUCAGGAUGAAGGGCGUAUACUACCACCGCCUGACUUCUGUUUAUGGCUCGCUAUGUGACCUCUGAUCUCCAGGCAAAUUUUAUUUAUUAACAUACAAAUAAAAUCACAUUUCAGCACAAAUAAAAUAAAAUAUCACCACAGCUAUUCCUACAAGGUAAUGGGUCAUGAGAUUAAAUAGAUUGACUGCUAAAUUCUUCUUUUGUAUGAAAUGCCUGCUUGCUUGGAUGGGUGAGGUACCUGCUGGACAUCUGUUACAAAAUCAAGUAACCUUGCCCUAACCCAGACAGAAUAUGAGUUAAUUUGGCUCCCCAAAAUUAAAACUUCUUGGUUUUUGCCUAUAUAAUCCUUUGGCUAACAAUAGCUGAGGCCUUCCUUACCUAGAGAACUCUCUCUGGUUUUGUCCUGACCAGUCUCUUUUUAAUAAAAAACCUCUAAUUUACUAAAACCAAAACUUGAGUCAGACUGGUGAAUCUCUGGAUGACCCUAGACCCCACAAAACCUUUUCUGUAAUUUCUCUUGCAUUUUCAUGGUUCGAGCCUUGCUGAACAGUGCUUCUCUCUUUCUAGUUCCUAGACUUAUGUUUCCUUGGCUGGCUGUUCUGCUAGCACCUAUAGAAGGGUGAUCAACUUCAUGGAAAGCAGAUCCGUCAUAUUUUAUUCCUGAUUUUCAAAUGGAUCUUCUGGGUAUUUCUUCACCCAUUGUAGGUUUUACUAGAUCAACAAACUCCCCUUGUAAUCCUACUUAGAGAGGCCUUUGUUUUUGUGUUUUUUUAAUCAUUAGUGAGUGUUUACAUCUUUCCAGUUUUUCUGUGUCCUUUGAGACCACUGUAACAUUUUCCUUCCAGUUUUUCAAGACAAGGUUUCUCUGUGUACCCCCUGGAUGUCCGGCAUCUCUCUCUGUAGACCAGGCUGGCAUUGAACUCAGGCCAGUCCUUUAACUGUUCAAAAUAAGUCAAUAGACAAAGAUCUUCACGUCUUUUUUUCCAAGCAUAAAGCUUCUCUUCAGACAUUAAAAGUUCCAUUGAUAAUUUUAGGUUCAGAGCAAUACAGCUGAGCCUGGCCUGGUGGCUGGUGUUCGUAAUUCUAGCACUCAGGAGAAUGAGACCAGCAUGGGCAAUGGAGUGAGACUCUUUUAAAAUAAGGAAUGGGAGGUGGAGAGACGGCUCAGGGGUGAGGAGCACUGGCUGCUCUUCCAGAUAAGGGGGUUUGAUUCCCAGUAGCCACAUGGUGGCUCACAACUAUUUAUAACUCCAAUUCCAGGGUAGCUGAUGCCUUCUGGACUCUGUGGAUACUGUAUGCAUGUGGUGUAUAGUCACACAUGAAGGCAGAAUACCCAUACAUACAUUAUUUUUUAAAACUUGGACAGUUGAAAAGAUUACAUAUAGCAAAGCGUGAUGUGUAUGCACACUGGAGUGUGGGCAGGAGAAUUAGUCCAGCUAGGCUACAUUGUAAGAUUCUGUUUCAAACAAACCAACCAAUAAACGAAAAAGAUCAUGUGUCAAUAUAAUCUUGGAAUAAUAGUGGCUCCUUGGAAUUUAAUUUUCUUUGCAUUCGUUUUUGUUUGGGUUGGUUUGGGUUUUUUUUUGGUUUUUUGAGACAGGAUUUCUCUGUGUAGUUUUGUGCCUGUCCUGGAUCUUGCUCUGUAGACCAGGCUGGCCUUGAACUCACAGAGAUCUGCCUGCCUCUGCCUCCCAAGUGCUGGGAUGAAAGAUGUUCGCCACCACCACCCGGCCGUGUCUUGAUCUCUUGAAGCUGGAGUUACAGAUGGUUGUGAACCACCAUGCAGGUGCUGGGAACUGAAUGCAGAUUCUCUGCAAGGGCAACAAGUGCUGCUGGCCACUGAGCCAUCUCUCCAGCCCCUGGUGUCUCUUUCUGUAAAGAGAAAAGUAAUUUUACAGCAAUGGGUAUGCUGUUCAAAGACAGGAGGCCCUUGUACUCCACUGCAACCCCUGCUCUGUCUACAAGAAGAAAGCACGGGAGGAGGUUCACCACAGUCCUUCUCUGCUUGGUGAAAAGUCCAACCCAGUGACUUCUCAAACUUGAACAUGCUUAGGAGUCACCUGCAGGUGUAAAAUUCUAAGGACUGGGGAGGGUAGCAAGACCUGAUAGUUCCAAGGAGUCCCAGGUCAUGCAGGCACAAGUCCCACCCAGAAGUAGCCAUCCUUCACCAAAAAGCCCCCUCAGUGGCUGCCCUUCACCAGUGGCCACCUGGGUACAUGCAGGCUCUUUCCCACCAGGUAACAAGGCCUGGAGCUGCUCAGUUAGCACUUCCCCACCACUGCCCACAUGGUACAACAGUUGGGCCUUCAUCUAAGGAGAUCUUAGGACUGUUGUCAUUCCUGGUUCACUUCUGCUGAUUGUGUGUGUCCUUGUCAUCUAAUAGAGAACAGACCAUAAAACUUGUUGGGAUGGAUACCGCGGCAGCCAUUUGUGAGUGAAGUCCACAGGCUAGACCCGCCGUUUUCCCCACUGUGUGACUUCCACUGAAUGCUCUUUGAGGGCAGGGAGGGACUCUAGUUUUUUUUUCUCAGCCACAUCUUUAUCAGCUGGAGUGAGCCAGACACUUAGGCACAGUCAGAAAGGGCUCUGGGAUGGUUUGUAUGUGUGUUUCCCUCAAGGCGCAACCAGGGCCAAGAGCAGAACUAGGGUGCUACAGGCCACGGUGAGGCCACUUCCAAUCCUGGCUUAGCCAUAGGAUUCGGUAGGGUCCAAACCAGAGGGAAUGUUCCUCAGGCAAGGCCAAGGAGGUAUAUGAAAGCAGAGGAGGAGACGCAGCAGAAGGCUGACCAACAAAAUCCAGAGGCCCCAAAAGCCACAAGGGGAAUGUGGUGAGUUGCCAAACCAGAGAGCGCAGAGGCAAAUACUAAAGCCAGGGAGCACAGCCAGGAAUCCCAGACCAGAGAGAUGAAGAGAGAGCAAGUGGGCAGAUCACAGCUGGGGGGGCCCAGGCCAGCCGGGAGCAGGAUUCGAGGCUUGCUUUAAAGUGCCUCCAGCACAGGUUGCGGUGGGCGAGUCAAGGUCAGGGGGGCCAUGGAGGGCUAGACAGAACAGGAUUUUCUGGAGCUCCUUGUUUCUCAGAGCAGAACCUGGGAAGUACGUGGAGUGGGCGGCACAUGGCUGCCUGCAAGGGAUGUGAGAACGUGGGUGAGCAGCUCGAAGCCUGGACACCCGGUCUAUGCACACCCUCACCUAAGAGCUGGUAUACACAAAUCCCAGCGUCGGUGUCAGGACUGGGGGCCGGAUUUCAAGAAAGGAAUUGGAAAGAAGUCAGCAAAGGCAUCGAUAAAGGCAAAGGUGGUAGCACAUAUCUAUAAUCUCAAUCUUUGAAAGCGCCAAGAGUUAAAGGUCAUCAUCUUCAGCUAAAUAGUGAGAAAGCGAGUGAGAAGCCAACCCGAGCUAUGUGAGAUCCUGUCUUUUUUGUUUGUUUUGUUUUUUGUUUUUCAAGACAGGGUUUCUCUGUGUAGCUUUAGCGCCUGUUCUGGAGCUCACUCUGUAGGCCAGGCUGGCCUCGAACUCACUCCACCUAUCUCUGCCUCCCGAGUGCUGGGAUUAAAGAAUUACGCCACCACCACCUGUCCAGAGAUCCUGUCUCAAAACAAUGUUACCGAAGGGGAAAGACAGAAUGAAAAUAUGGUGGCAAAUUUCUAAUUCCCAGCUUGGCCUUGAUGGUGGUGGUGGGGUGUGUGUGUGUGGGGGGGCGGCUGAAAAACAACAACAACAACUAAUCCUUAUAAAAAAAAAUUGCAAGGUCAUAAGACACUCUGCAGACUUGGAGUAAUUAUCUGAUGACUCCUGAUUACUUCUAGGAUGGGCUUGCGAGCCCGCCAGUUGGCAAACACAUUUCCCUCGAAUACAGCUGGUCACUGAUGUUGCCUUCCCUUAUUCUUCUCUACAGUCUCCUGUGCACCACACCUCUCCACAGCAGCAGACUUCCUUUAGCCACAAGGUGAUUGCUGUACCAAAAUAUUGCACUGUUUAAAAUAACCCUGGACUUUUGAAUUAUAACCUGUUUUUAUGUUCAAGUUAUCUGUGUAUUAUUUCUCCUGCAGUUGUACAUAAAAUGUUUUUACAUUUAAAAAAAGGACAAAUACUAUAGAAUUGUAUUACAUGAAAUAUAUAGAAUAAUUCAUGGAGACAGAAAGAUUAGACGUUAUCUCAAGAUGGAGAAGAAAGGAAUAUAGAGCAAUGAUUUCCUAAGUACAGAAUCUCUGUUUUGUGUGAUGGAAAAGCCCCACAAAUGGACAGUAGUAUCAGGACAUAAUAUCAUGAAUGUAAUAAAUCAAUAUAAUUAAUGUAAUUAAUGAAUAUCAUAAAUAUAAUUAUUGAAUGAAUACUGCGAAUGUAAUGAAUACCACAAAUGUAAUUAAUAUCAUGAGUGUAAUUAAUGAAUAUCAUGAGUGUAAUUAAAAAUAAAUAAAAUGCUUUCUU